CAUCCUCCAAGGCUAAAUACUCCUGACUGACCGAUAGUGAACCAGUACCGUGAGGGAAAGGCGAAAAGAACCCCGGCGAGGGGAGUGAAAAAGAACCUGAAACCGUGUACGUACAAGCAGUGGGAGCACCUUCGGGUGUGACUGCGUACCUUUUGUAUAAUGGGUCAGCGACUUAUAUUCUGUAGCAAGGUUAACCGUAUAGGGGAGCCGGAGGGAAACCGAGUCUUAAUUGGGCGUUAAGUUGCAGGGUAUAGACCCGAAACCCGGUGAUCUAGCCAUGGGCAGGUUGAAGGUUGGGUAACACUAACUGGAGGACCGAACCGACUAAUGUUGAAAAAUUAGCGGAUGACCUGUGGCUGGGGGUGAAAGGCCAAUCAAACCGGGAGAUAGCUGGUUCUCCCCGAAAGCUAUUUAGGUAGCGCCUCGUGAAUUCAUCUCCGGGGGUAGAGCACUGUUUCGGCUAGGGGGCCAUCCCGGCUUACCAACCCGAUGCAAACUGCGAAUACCGGAGAAUGUUAUCACGGGAGACACACGGCGGGUGCUAACGUCCGUCGUGAAGAGGGAAACAACCCAGACCGCCAGCUAAGGUCCCAAAGUCAUGGUUAAGUGGGAAACGAUGUGGGAAGGCCCAGACAGCCAGGAUGUUGGCUUAGAAGCAGCCAUCAUUUAAAGAAAGCGUAAUAGCUCACUGGUCGAGUCGGCCUGCGCGGAAGAUGUAACGGGGCUAAACCAUGCACCGAAGCUGCGGCAGCGA
rnacentral:rRNA from 2 species